CAUUUUUGUUUUUGCAGGCAUCGCAGACCUUAGGUGCUGGAAAUGCAAGACAGUCCUCAUCAGGCUCAGGGAGAAAAGAACAGCAGGUGGCGUUGGGAACCCUUCGGGGAAACGCGUUUUUCCUUCCCUCGGAGGACUGUGUGCCUUCUCCUGCAUGGAGCUGCCUUUCCCCUGUGACAAGCCUUACCUUGCUUCAGAGCUGCUGGAAGGGGGACGCGCACGAAGCACUUUUAAGCUCAAAAAGGACCUACUGACAGUUCCCAGGAAACCUUUGUCCCUUCUUUGAUGGCUGUGACCCUCUGAGCAUCUCAGCUCUCUGCCUCUGCGGCCUCCCUGCGUGCUCUUCAGGCUUCCUCCCUCUGCUUUGUGUCACCGGCAACGUGCAUUUUACAGCACUGUUAACCUCUCCCAGCCUCCUGAACAUGAGUAAAAAGAAGACCCUGACGGAACACUGCAUUUAUAAAACAAAAAAAGAAGAAACAAAUUAUAAAAAAGAAACAUUCAAAGACAAGGUGUCACUUUCUACAAGAAGGGGAAAAAUUGCCUAACUAGAGAGAGGAACUGAAGCCUGGCCUGAGAGAAUAUGGGCUCUCAGCGUGAACUCUGGAGGAGACAUGAGUCCCUGGAGACUGAUACAGCCUUGGAAGAAUGCUGUUCCUAACACAAUUACAGCUAGGCUACUUGUCCAGCGCUAUUUCCUCCUGUACGCGCCCCAGUUCCAGCUCUGCCCCUCUGUAUUUAGAUGAGGUGGCUCCCUCCUUCCUGACACUUGAGUCCAGCAGAGGGAAGCACCAGAAGCACAGGAGAAGAUGGCAUCCUGGCCCUUUGUCCCGGUGC